GUAGGUGGCAAGCGUUGUCCGGGAAUUAUUGGGGCGUAAAGCGCGCGCAGGCGGUUCUUUAAGCCUGAUGUGAAAGCCCACGGGCUCAACCGUGGAGGGUCAUUGGAAACUGGAGAACUUGAGUACAGAAGAGGAAAGCGGAAUUCCACGUGUAGCGGUGAAAUGCGUAGAGAUGUGGAGGAACACCAGUGGCGAAGGCGGCUUUCUGGUCUGUAACUGACGCUGAGGCGCGAAAGCGUGGGGAGCAAACAGGAUUAGAUACCCUGGUAGUCCACGCCGUAAACGAUGAGUGCUAAGUGUUAGGGGGUUUCCGCCCCUUAGUGCUGCAGCUAACGCAUUAAGCACUCCGCCUGGGGAGUACGGCCGCAAAGGCUG
rnacentral:rRNA from 1 species